rnacentral:rRNA from 1 species
UACAGAGGGUGCAAGCGUUAAUCGGAAUUACUGGGCGUAAAGCGCGCGUAGGUGGUUCGUUAAGUUGGAUGUGAAAUCCCCGGGCUCAACCUGGGAACCGCAUUCAAAACUGUCGAGCUAGAGUAUGGUAGAGGGUGGUGGAAUUUCCUGUGUAGCGGUGAAAUGCGCAGAUAUAGGAAGGAACACCAGUGGCGAAGGCGACCACCUGGACUGAUACUGACACUGAGGUGCGAAAGCGUGGGGAGCAAACAGG